rnacentral:rRNA from 1 species
GAUGAACGCUGGCGGCGUGCCUAAUACAUGCAAGUCGAGCGAACAGACGAGGAGCUUGCUCCUCUGACGUUAGCGGCGGACGGGUGAGUAACACGUGGAUAACCUACCUAUAAGACUGGGAUAACUUCGGGAAACCGGAGCUAAUACCGGAUAAUAUAUUGAACCGCAUGGUUCAAUAGUGAAAGACGGUUUUGCUGUCACUUAUAGAUGGAUCCGCGCCGCAUUAGCUAGUUGGUAAGGUAACGGCUUACCAAGGCAACGAUGCGUAGCCGACCUGAGAGGGGGAUCGGCCACACUGGAACUGAGACACGGUCCAGACUCCUACGGGAGGCAGCAGUAGGGAAUCUUCCGCAAUGGGCGAAAGCCUGACGGAGCAACGCCGCGUGAGUGAUGAAGGUCUUCGGAUCGUAAAACUCUGUUAUUAGGGAAGAACAAAUGUGUAAGUAACGAUGCACGUCUUGACGGUACCGAAUCAGAAAGCCACGGCUAACUACGU